rnacentral:rRNA from 1 species
CCUACGGGAGGCUGCAGUCGAGAAUCUUUCGCAAUGGGCGCAAGCCUGACGAAGCGACGCCGUGUGUGUGAUGAAGGCCUUAGGGUUGUAAAACACUUUCGCUUAAGAACAAGAGACGGAGGCUAAUAUCCUCCGAAUUUGAGAGUAUUAGGUAAAGAAGCACCGGCUAACUACGUGCCAGCAGCUGCGGUAAUACGUAGGGUGCAAGCAUUAAUCGGAUUUAUUGGGCGUAAAGGGCGCGCAGGCGGAACCGCAAGUCGGGUGUGAAAUCCCGGGGCUCAACCCCGGAACGGCACUCGAAACUACGGAUCUAGAGGGUAGGCGGAGAAAACGGAGUUCUACAAGUAGCGGUGAAAUGCGUAGAUAUGUGGAAGAACAUCGGUGGCGAAGGCGGUUUUCUAGCUUAUACCUGACGCUGAGGCGCGAAAGCAAGGGGAGCAAACAGGAUUA